rnacentral:rRNA from 1 species
UGGGGAAUAUUGGACAAUGGGCGGAAGCCUGAUCCAGCCAUGCCGCGUGUGUGAAGAAGGCCUUUUGGUUGUAAAGCACUUUAAGCGAGGAGGAGGCUACCUGGAUUAAUACUCUAGGAUAGUGGACGUUACUCGCAGAAUAAGCACCGGCUAACUCUGUGCCAGCAGCCGCGGUAAUACAGAGGGUGCGAGCGUUAAUCGGAUUUACUGGGCGUAAAGCUUGCGUAGGCGGCUUCUUAAGUCGGAUGUGAAAUCCCUGAGCUUAACUUAGGAAUUGCAUUCGAUACUGGGAAGCUAGAGUAUGGGAGAGGAUGGUAGAAUUCCAGGUGUAGCGGUGAAAUGCGUAGAGAUCUGGAGGAAUACCGAUGGCGAAGGCAGCCAUCUGGCCUAAUACUGACGCUGAGGUACGAAAGCAUGGGGAGCAAACAGG